rnacentral:rRNA from 1 species
UACGUAGGGCGCAAGCGUUAUCCGGAAUUAUUGGGCGUAAAGAGCUCGUAGGCGGUUUGUCGCGUCUGCCGUGAAAGUCCGGGGCUCAACUCCGGAUCUGCGGUGGGUACGGGCAGACUAGAGUGAUGUAGGGGAGACUGGAAUUCCUGGUGUGGCGGUGAAAUGCGCAGAUAUCAGGAGGAACACCGGUGGCGAAGGCGGGUCUCUGGGCCGAUACUGACGCUGAGGAGCGAAAGCGUGGGGAGCAAACAGG